CCUACGGGAGGCUGCAGUGGGGAAUAUUGGACAAUGGGGGGAACCCUGAUCCAGCGACGCCGCGUGAGUGAAGAAGUAUUUCGGUAUGUAAAGCUCUAUCAGCAGGGAAGAAAGAAAUGACGGUACCUGACUAAGAAGCACCGGCUAACUACGGGCCAGCAGCCGCGGUAAUACGUAGGGGGCAAGCGUUAUCCGGAUUUACUGGGUGUAAAGGGAGCGUAGACGGCGAUGCAAGUCUGAAGUGAAAGGCGGGGGCCCAACCCCUGGACUGCUUUGGAAACUGUAUGGCUGGAGUGCAGGGGAGGUAAGUGGAAUUCCUCGUGUAGCGGUGCAAUGCGUAGAUAUUAGGAGGAACACCAGUGGCGAAGGCGGCUUACUGGACUGUAACUGACGUUGAGGCUCGAAAGCGUGGGGAGCAAACAGGAUUAGAUACCCCGGUAGUC
rnacentral:rRNA from 1 species